rnacentral:rRNA from 1 species
UUUGGUUAAGUUAGAAAGGGCGCACGGUGGAUGCCUUGACACUAGGAGUCGAUGAAGGACGGGACUAACGCCGAUAUGCUUCGGGGAGCUGUAAGUAAGCUUUGAUCCGAAGAUUUCCGAAUGGGGAAACCCACCAUACGUAAUGGUAUGGUAUCCUUAUCUGAAUACAUAGGGUAAGGAAGACAGACCCAGGGAACUGAAACAUCUAAGUACCUGGAGGAAGAGAAAGCAAAUGCGAUUUCCUGAGUAGCGGCGAGCGAAACGGAACAUAGCCCAAACCAAGAGGCUUGCCUCUUGGGGUUGUAGGACAUUCUAUACGGAGUUACAAAGGAACGAGGUAGACGAAGCGACCUGGAAAGGUCCGUCGUAGAGGGUAACAACCCCGUAGUCGAAACUUCGUUCUCUCUUGAAUGUAUCCUGAGUACGGCGGAACACGUGAAAUUCCGUCGGAAUCUGGGAGGACCAUCUCCCAAGGCUAAAUACUCCCUAGUGAUCGAUAGUGAACCAGUACCGUGAGGGAAAGGUGAAAAGCACCCCGGAAGGGGAGUGAAAGAGAUCCUGAAACCGUGUGCCUACAAAUAGUCAGAGCCCGUUAACGGGUGAUGGCGUGCCUUUUGUAGAAUGAACCGGCGAGUUACGAUCCCGUGCGAGGUUAAGCUGAAGAGGCGGAGCCGCAGCGAAAGCGAGUCUGAAUAGGGCGUUUAGUACGUGGUCGUAGACCCGAAACCAGGUGAUCUACCCAUGUCCAGGGUGAAGUUCAGGUAACACUGAAUGGAGGCCCGAACCCACGCACGUUGAAAAGUGCGGGGAUGAGGUGUGGGUAGCGGAGAAAUUCCAAUCGAACCUGGAGAUAGCUGGUUCUCCCCGAAAUAGCUUUAGGGCUAGCCUUAAGUGUAAGAGUCUUGGAGGUAGAGCACUGAUUGGACUAGGGGUCCUCAUCGGAUUACCGAAUUCAGUCAAACUCCGAAUGCCAAUGACUUAUCCUUAGGAGUCAGACUGCGAGUGAUAAGAUCCGUAGUCAAAAGGGAAACAGCCCAGACCGCCAGCUAAGGUCCCAAAGUGUGUAUUAAGUGGAAAAGGAUGUGGAGUUGCUUAGACAACUAGGAUGUUGGCUUAGAAGCAGCCACCAUUUAAAGAGUGCGUAAUAGCUCACUAGUCGAGUGACUCUGCGCCGAAAAUGUACCGGGGCUAAAUACACCACCGAAGCUGCGGAUUGAUACCAAUGGUAUCAGUGGUAGGGGAGCGUUCUAAGGACAGUGAAGUCAGACCGGAAGGACUGGUGGAGUGCUUAGAAGUGAGAAUGCCGGUAUGAGUAGCGAAAGACGGGUGAGAAUCCCGUCCACCGAAUGCCUAAGGUUUCCUGAGGAAGGCUCGUCCGCUCAGGGUUAGUCAGGACCUAAGCCGAGGCCGACAGGCGUAGGCGAUGGACAACAGGUUGAUAUUCCUGUACCACCUCUUUAUCGUUUGAGCAAUGGAGGGACGCAGAAGGAUAGAAGAAGCGUGCGAUUGGUUGUGCACGUCCAAGCAGUUAGGCUGAUAAGUAGGCAAAUCCGCUUAUCGUAAAGGCUGAGCUGUGAUGGGGAAGCUCCUUAUGGAGCGAAGUCUUUGAUUCCCCGCUGCCAAGAAAAGCUUCUAGCGAGAUAAAAGGUGCCUGUACCGCAAACCGACACAGGUAGGCGAGGAGAGAAUCCUAAGGUGUGCGAGAGAACUCUGGUUAAGGAACUCGGCAAAAUGACCCCGUAACUUCGGGAGAAGGGGUGCUUUCUUAACGGAAAGCCGCAGUGAAUAGGCCCAAGCGACUGUUUAGCAAAAACACAGCUCUCUGCGAAGCCGUAAGGCGAAGUAUAGGGGGUGACACCUGCCCGGUGCUGGAAGGUUAAGGAGAGGGGUUAGCGUAAGCGAAGCUCUGAACUGAAGCCCCAGUAAACGGCGGCCGUAACUAUAACGGUCCUAAGGUAGCGAAAUUCCUUGUCGGGUAAGUUCCGACCCGCACGAAAGGUGUAACGAUUUGGGCACUGUCUCAACCAGAGACUCGGUGAAAUUAUAGUACCUGUGAAGAUGCAGGUUACCCGCGACAGGACGGAAAGACCCCGUGGAGCUUUACUGUAGCCUGAUAUUGAAUUUUGGUACAGUUUGUACAGGAUAGGCGGGAGCCAUUGAAACCGGAGCGCUAGCUUCGGUGGAGGCGCUGGUGGGAUACCGCCCUGACUGUAUUGAAAUUCUAACCUACGGGUCUUAUCGACCCGGGAGACAGUGUCAGGUGGGCAGUUUGACUGGGGCGGUCGCCUCCUAAAGUGUAACGGAGGCGCCCAAAGGUUCCCUCAGAAUGGUUGGAAAUCAUUCGUAGAGUGCAAAGGCAUAAGGGAGCUUGACUGCGAGACCUACAAGUCGAGCAGGGACGAAAGUCGGGCUUAGUGAUCCGGUGGUUCCGCAUGGAAGGGCCAUCGCUCAACGGAUAAAAGCUACCCCGGGGAUAACAGGCUUAUCUCCCCCAAGAGUCCACAUCGACGGGGAGGUUUGGCACCUCGAUGUCGGCUCAUCGCAUCCUGGGGCUGUAGUCGGUCCCAAGGGUUGGGCUGUUCGCCCAUUAAAGCGGUACGCGAGCUGGGUUCAGAACGUCGUGAGACAGUUCGGUCCCUAUCCGUCGUGGGCGUAGGAAAUUUGAGAGGAGCUGUCCUUAGUACGAGAGGACCGGGAUGGACGCACCGCUGGUGUACCAGUUGUUCUGCCAAGGGCAUAGCUGGGUAGCUAUGUGCGGAAGGGAUAAGUGCUGAAAGCAUCUAA